rnacentral:rRNA from 1 species
CCCUUAGAUGUCCUGGGCUGCACGCGCGCUACACUGAUGUGUCCAGUAAGCACCUAACCUCUUCCGAAAGGAACGGGUAACCUUUGCAAAGCACAUCGUGAUGGGGAUAGAUUAUUGCAAAUAUUAAUCUUGAACGAGGAAUUCCUAGUAAGCGCAAGUCAACAGCUUGCGUUGAUUACGUCCCUGCCCUUUGUACACACCGCCCGUCGCUACUACUGAUUGGAUGUUUAAGCGAGGUUCUCGAACUGCUAGCGACUUAGCUUCGGUGAGGUCGCAGUGUGGGAAGUGAACCUAGCUUUGGUGUCUAGAGGAAGUAAAAGUCGUAACA